CGGAUUGAAGGCUGAAAUUCGCCUUCAUGAAGCCGGAAUUGCUAGUAAUGGCAGGUCAGCAUACUGCCGUGAAUACGUUCCCGGGCCUUGUACACACCGCCCGUCACACCAUGAGAGUUGGGAAUACCCGAAGCCUGUGAGCUAACUAUACGAGGCAGCAGUCGAAGGUAGAAUCAAUGAUUGGGGUGAAGUCGUAACAAGGUAUC
rnacentral:rRNA from 1 species